rnacentral:lncRNA from 1 species
AAACCACAGCUAUUCAGACUUGGGACUUGGGAAUCUGCUAUGUUAAUAGGCUGCUUUUUUUGUUUGGUUUUUUGAGGCAGGGUCUCUGUGGCCCAGGCUGGAGUGCACUGGCGCCAUCACGACUCACUGCAGCCUCAAAGUUCCAGGCUCGGUUGAUCCUCCCACCUAAGCCUCCCGAGUAGCUGGAACCACAGACUCGCAUCACCAUGCCCGGGCUUGAGUGACAACUUGAGGACAAGGCGGCGCCUCGACAAGAUUUCACACAGCAGCUACGGGGGCCAGAGAAGCAGCACCACAUGGUGUGGCAGGAGAAGGAGGACAUGCACAAGCAAUUGGUUGAAGCUUCAGAGACAUUGAAAUCCCAAGCCAAAGAACUGAAAGAUGCCCAUCAGCAGCAAAAGCUGGCCCUGCAGGAGUUCUUGGAGCUCAAUGAGCUCAUGGCAGAGCUCUACUCCCAGAAGCAGAAGGUGUGGGACAAGGAGGAGAUGGAAGUAGCCAUGCAGAAAGCUGACAUGAUGUGGCAGGAGAUCUGAAGAUCCAAGAAGCUGAGAAAGAGGAUGCUGUUUAGCCAGAUGCGGUGGCUCACGCCUGUAAUCCCAGCACUUUGGGAGGUCGAGGCGGGUGGAUGGCCUGAGGUCAGGAGUUUGAGACCAGCCUGGCCAACAUGGUGAAACCCCGUCUCUAUUAAAAAUGCAAAAAUUAACCAGGCAUGGUAUUGGGUGCCUGUAAUCCUAGCUACUUGGGAGGCUGAAGCAGGAGAAUUGCUUGAACCUGGGAGGCGGAGGUUGCAGUGAGCCAAGAUCAUGCCACUGCACUCCAGCCUGGGCAUCAAGAGCAAAACUCUGUCUCAAAAAAAAAAGGGAGGGGGGG